UUCCUUUCAUCUCCAGCUCUGCUGCUCCUCACUCCUUGGCAGUUUGGAAGGAUGGUGGAAGUAAUUAAUGGCUGGGGAGGGGAGGAGGAGAUGCUCCUAAGAGAGGAGUCAAAAAUUCCUCUUGACAAUGACCACAUGUCUGAGGCUCAGCUACUAGUUCACCUGACAGCAAUAAGGGUCUAAUAGUCAUUAGUCACCACUGCAGACACGCUCCAUGCACUUCUCCAUUCUCUUUUCUUUCCCUAAUGAAGGCUGAAAAUGAAACAGCAUCAACCACCCUGGUGCUUUCAACCACCUUUUGUCAUCUUGCAUGGAAAAGACUAGAGAACUGAUGGCUCAAAAAGCUUUGUCAGCAUCCCUGACCACAGGCAGGGAAGAAUCUGCUAAGCAGAGGAAAACAAGGGCAUAACAAAUCACAGCAGCCAGUCCAGAGCCAAACAGAAGAUCUGACCUGUUGAAUUCAGGUCACAAAGUUCCUCAACCAGAGUCAUAAUUGCUGGAUCAUCCAUUCCUCCAUCCACAGCUGCCCAGGACAGGAGUUUUCUCCCAGAAAAGAGGGUAAACGACUCACUGAGCCCAGCUGCAUUUCCUAAGUGUCUUUGCCAAGUUUUCUGCCCCAUUUAAGCGGGCCCAGGCAUACUUUAUAAAAUAUCCAAUGGAGAUCUCUGAGAUAAAACCAUUUCACAGUACAUGAUUUGGCUGCAAAGGACAAGUAUGGCUUGUUUGCAAAAGAGCUCUCCUAUGUCUGACCUAGACAUCAGUCAUUAUAAGUAAUUAGGGGUCCCAUUACUGAGAGAAGAGCAGAUCCUUUCACUGGUGGGGCAGCCAUACUGUUAUGAGGCAAUCUGCACUUUCCAAGGAAAGCCACACCAGGCUUGACUGGCACCCAGCUGCCGUGCAGAG